AGGGAAAAGCUCAAAUUUAAAAUCUGGCAGUCUUAGGCUGUCCGAGUUGUAAAUUAGAGAAGCGUUAUCCGCGCUGGCCUGUGCAUAAGUCUCUUGGAAAAGGGCAUCAUAGAGGGUGACAAUCCCGUCUUUGGCACGGACUACCAGUGCUUUUGUGAUGCGCUCUCGAU
rnacentral:rRNA from 1 species